AUUAGUAUAGAAAUUUAAAAAUUUUGGCGGUUGGUGAUUAAUUAGAGGAGCUUGUAUAGAAUUAACUCUUUAUAUUUAAAUAGUAUUAUUUAUUCAUCUCCGUUAUUAAUAAUUAUAUUUCAGGUCAAGAUGUAGUAUUUAUUAUAAUAUUAGCUACAUUUAUGAAAUAAGAAAUUGAAUUUAAUUGUAAUUAUAUUUAUAAUGGUAUAAUGAAUGGAAAUGAUUAAUGU
rnacentral:rRNA from 1 species